ACAUACUAAUAAUUCAAUGCCCAAAUCCACUACUAUCCUAUCUGUUUAUGUACAAGGUGUGGGCACAGUGCUCCUGGGGAGCUCAUGUUCACAUUGACUACCAGACGUUUUCUUAAUGAUCGCUACAACAAGUCUAAACUGUUUUAACGUACAUGUCUUAUACGUUAGUAAAUAUUAAAAUUAAAUUAAAUAGAAAAAUUGAGCAAACUAGAUGUAUCUACAUAUAUUAUAUAAAUUUUGAUAAAUGUAGCAUUGGUAAAACGGUUUGCAUAACUUACAUUUCAAUAAAAAUGUAAGAUAAAUACGGAAUUUUAAGAGCAGUAGCUAACACCUUCAGAUAAACCUCGCAAUCGCCAGUAUGUACAUUUUAUCAUGUCUGUCGGCCCUUUCAUAACUAUCUAAGUGAUGCAAAUUCAAUUGUUUUCAAAUUUUAAGGGAAAACAAAUACUUACAUAUAUACAAAAAAAUAUUUUAAUACCUUAUUAUUUUUAUUUUGAAGAUCAGAUUAUUUUUGUUAUAUGAAAAGUAUAAAAAUGAAGCAAUUCUAUGUAAAUUUUCACUGUAUGUACAUUAUAGAUAGCACUGGGGUCAUGAAUUUUACACCUAUAUUAAAUAUAUAUGGUCACAUAGAAGGAAAGAGAAGUCGACGAAGAUUGCCAACCAGGUGGACGGACAUUAUCAAGGAGGCCACAAACACCAGCAUCCCGGGCGCUAUUAAGCAGGCCGAAUGCAGGCAACAUUGGAGGAAGCUGGUGCAAAAACUGGACCAAGGUGGUCACGACCCUCAGUAAUGAGGAAACUACAAAGAAGAAGAAGAAUUAAAUAUAUUCUCCAUAUUCUUCAAAUGUUUUGUGACUAAUUAAAUGUAAAUGAUGUGAAUGUAUCCUUAUCUAUUUUCAAUUACACAUUUAUGUAAAUAAAA